rnacentral:rRNA from 1 species
GGUGAUGUACCUAGUAGUAUAAGAAAUUAAUAUGAGAUUAACUAAGUUAACUAAAAUUCUAAGCAGAUAUUUGAUUAUGACACUAUCUGUAUAGGUCUUGACCAAGUCACGUGCCAGCAGUCGCGGUAAUACGUGGAAGACAAGUGUUAUUCAUCUUUAAUGGGUUUAAAGGGUACCUAGACGGUUAAUUAAGCAAUUAAAUGUACUAAUUAACUAGAGUUUAAUGUAAGAAAGAUGAGUACUGUUAGAGUAGAGAUAAAAUUCUAGGAUAAUAUCAGGAACUGGUAAGAGCGAAGGCUACUUUCAAUGUAAAAACUGACGUUAAAGGACGAAGGCUAUAUUUAAAAAGUAGGAUUAGAGACCCUUGUAUUUUAAGCAGAGAAUUAUGAGUGUCAUACACAAGAUAAUUAUUUUGUGUAUAAAUGAAAGUGUAAGCACUCCACCUCACGAGUAACGUGGCAACACGGGAACUGAAAUCAUUAGACCGUAUCUGAAACCCGUAGUGAAGUAUGUUGUUUAAUUUGAUAACCCUCAAAUAACCUUACCACAAUUUGAAUUACUAUUACAAAAUAGUAACAAGUGUUGCACGGCUGUCUUUAGUCAAUGUUGUGAAAUUUUGGUUAGAUCCAUUAAUUGACGUAAACCCUUACUUUAUUUAUUAUAAAGUAGUUCGCCGCUA